rnacentral:rRNA from 1 species
AGUGAACGCUGGCGGUAGGCCUAACACAUGCAAGUCGAACGGCAGCACAGUAAGAGCUUGCUCUUACGGGUGGCGAGUGGCGGACGGGUGAGGAAUACAUCGGAAUCUACUUUUUCGUGGGGGUUAAGGAAGGAAACUUUACCUAAUAACCGAAUCGGCCUAAGGGUGGAAGGAGGGGGACUUUCGGCCCUGGGGGGUUUGAAGGGGCGGUGUCGGAUUUGGUUGUUGGGGGGGUAAAGGCCCACCAAGGCGACGAUUCGUAGGUGGUCUGAGAGGAUGAUCAGCCACACUGGAACUGAGACACGGUCCAGACUCCUACGGGAGGCAGCAGUGGGGAAUAUUGGACAAUGGGCGCAAGCCUGAUCCAGCCAUACCGCGUGGGUGAAGAAGGCCUUCGGGUUGUAAAGCCCUUUUGUUGGGAAAGAAAAGCAGCAGGUUAAUACCCCGCUGUUCUGACGGUACCCAAAGAAUAAGCACCGGCUAACUUCGUG